AACUAAAAAAACUAAAGAAAGACUAUAGGGACCAAAAAAAGGACCUCGAUCGAAGCGGCAAUGGGCGCCCACGGCAAAAUCCACAUUUCAACGUUCUCGACUGUGUUCUCGGCGAUAGGCCGGCAUGCCAGGUGACCGGGGCGCUGAACUCGGCCACAAUAAUGCUCGAGUCAAUGCUGGAUGAUUCGCCGCGGCAAAGUUGCACUGAUCAUGAACUGUCUGCCAUCAACGACGACAACGUUGAGUUGCCGCCACCGCUGGGAUGCAGCUCUCCCGUGCCGUCGUGUAGCAGCUCUGGAGAAGCAUCUUCAGAACGGGGAAAAAGGAAGAGAGAUGGUACCUCGGAAAUCCUUCAAUAUCUGGAAAGGGCAGAUGAGAGGUUCCUGCAGCACAGCAAGGCAAUGGAUGACGCCUUGUGUCAGGACAUGAGAGCGGACACACAAACCCUGCUUGGACUCAUGGGGCACAUGGUGGCCGUAUUGGAGGCACAAGUUAAAAAAUAAUUUUGGUUGCCGCUUUUCAUGUCAUUUUUUAAUUUCUUUUUACAAUUGUUGUUACCUACAGAACUUUAUUUUUUUAUAAGAUUUCUGUUAUUUUUUUUGGUUUAAAUAAACAUGUUUAGUAAUGCAAAUAUCUGGUCCAGUUUCUUAAACACUUAACAGGCAAAUAUUGCAUUAUGGUUUGUGUUUUUAAUGCAAUUUACUUUCAUAUAAAUGUGUACAUUAAACAGCCAAGUGAUGCGAUUAGCUGUAUAUACAAAUCUAUAUUAUUUUGACAUGAAAUAUGAUUAAAAUCCAAAUUACUUCAUGAUUGGAAGUUAAUAAAAACUUGGUUGGUUUUAAUCCCAGCCAGAAGUGUGAAAGGGUUGUUGAUUGAGGAUGAUUGAUAAAUGAUUCACAAAAUGCACGUUUUAGAGAUAACAUGGUUCAUUUAAUGGAUGAGAAUGUAAUACAAUUCAAAAGUGUAGAUUUCAAUAAACACAAACUGCAGUGUUACAAAAAUAUUGCAACAAAUAUAGCUUUGGUGUAUUUAAAGAAUCACUCGUUCCCUCUGUUAAAAUGCAUCAUUAAUGCAGCUCUGAUUUCAGCCCCUUCUGUGUUUGCCCGCUCAGGUAUUGUCUGAGCAGUAGGCUCUAUGUUUAGAGUCCUGUCUGGUUGCUCUUCACUGAAAUUAUCACCAUGUUCCUCACAAAUGUUAUGGAGGACACAGCAGGUCAGUGCCAUCCUCUUGCUCAGCUCCAGCUUGCAGUCGUCUUUUUUUAGGAGGCAAUCUCCCAAAAGACAUCUCCACAACCGAUCGUGCACUGCUCAGCCUGUAAUUGUAUGUGUGCUGUUCAGGGGUCAGUCUGCCAGUGUCGCAAAAGGGCUUCAUGAGCCAAUUCUGCAUGGGAUAUGCCGGAUCGCCGAUCAGGUAAUGUCCAACAUCACAGCCAGAGAUAGUCACUUUGUUUUGCCCUAGUAAUUCCCCGUCACUUAAGGCCUCCCACAAAUGUGACUGUCGUAGCACUCUGGCGUCAUGCACACUCCCUGGAUAGCCAACACAAACAUCCCAGAAUAGACCUUUGCCAUUCACUACUGCUUGCAGAACAAUAGAAUGCCAGCCUUUACGAUUGAAAUAGUCUCGUGGAUAGUCCUCUGGUGCAAUUACUGGAAUGUGGCUGCCAUCAAUUGCACCCACACACUGUGGAAUUCUCCAACGAUUAUCAAAGAAAGUGGCCAUUUCUAGCAACUUUUCAGCAUCAGGAAAUGUAAUGUGGAUGGGAAGGAGCAGUGUGAUGACUGUGUUGCAGAAUUCCUGAACACAAUUAAAUACAGUGCUGAGGCCUACUCCAAAAAGAUGGCUAAUUGUCCUGUAUUCAACACCCGUGGCCAGUUUCCACAUGGCAAUAGCCACACGCUUUCGGAUUGGGACACACAAACUGUAGUUUGCGUUUCUUCUCCCCAUGGCAUGUUUGACCUGGCAGCAGAUGUAUUCAAAUGAUCCUGCGGAUACGCGUAAAUUCUGCAUGAAUUGUAACGGUGAAAUCCGGAACAAUUGUGUCCCACCAGUGGUCAGAUCGUGGGUAUGCCCACAUUACCGGUGACCUCCGCCUUGAGCUGCAAGAUUGCCUGUAAAGAUAAAAAAAUACAUACGUUUCAUCUAUGGGAAAUAGGAUAUAGGUAUAUUUUCUAUCAAGUGUACAGUGCUGUAUAAAUACUAUAGAAAUAGUUGAGCUGUAGCUGUGAAGCGUUUAUUAAUUCAAAGUACCACUUAAAAGACAAGGCUACAAGGUUUUUUUCAGUCUUUUUAGGUUCAUGCAUUGUGUUUUUCAGACAACUUACUGGUCACAUGUUUGCAGAUUUUCUAGUUUUAAUACUGUGAGUGGUUUUCGCCUGUAACUCAGACAUACAUACAAGUGUUCACAAAAAUGGCGUCGUUAUACUUAUUCAAGCAAUGCUUAAUACAUUUUUUUUAAUUGCAAUGCGAUCGAUUAUCAGCAAAGUCGAUGUUAGGAGGUUAGCAACAUGCUAAGGCUAAAUAUGAAUCUCAGGCUAAAGUCGGCAUCUUAUUGUUAAAAAUAAAUGUUGUACAUACCGUUACUCUCGCUUGUAAUCUCCGUCUGUACGAAUAAAGGCGAGCCGCGCGAACAUGUUUGAUCCGCCGUGUUUGGAUGUCGAUCCGCAAAGCCAUGAACAUCAAUAGCAAAGCAACGUCCGCCAUUGUUGAAGAUGUGUUUGUGUUUGCCGCCGCCGCGCUAACGUUGCUGGGAAAGAUGAGACGUGACUGUGACGUAGGGCUCUGCGCUGGCUCCUUAGCCUGUGGAAAAGCAAACCGGUUCUUUGGAGGCUCGUCAGUUGAACCAACUCCGAACCGGCUCUAGCUCCGAACCAGCACCUGGUUCUUGUUGGUGGAAAAGGGGUAUAGGACUACGAGACUGCUGGCCAGCUGGGAGCGAGUUAGUGUGUUGGGGAUGGAUGAUGAUGGAGGGCCAGGGGGUGACCUCUGCACAAAAAUAAUACAAGGUAUAACAGGAAAGAAGAACAUUAUCAAGGAGAGAUAAAUUGGCGGAUAGUGGGGCGGUACGGGCACGCUGCUUUCCCUUUCAGUAACAGAAAAGCGGCUGGGAAAAAAAAGACACAAAAUAUGGUGAUCCAAAUGUAGUUGUAUUUUACUUCACUGGUCAGAACCCGUCCAACUGGAAUCUGCCACCUACUGCUGUGUCUCUAUACAGUAGGAAGUCAAACCGUACGCUUCAUAAUGGUGUAAUGUUAUGCAUAGUCUGCCACUUCACACACACACACGACCACUGACACAUGGAGAUUAAGGUUUAAAUGUCAUAUUACUCAGCAGAGUAAUGGUGGACCAGCUACACUGGAGGUGUCGGAUUUCAUCAGCGUCUGGUAUGUGUGUUUUACUGCAGUCUGCUUGCCUGCAUUAGAACCAGGUUUGGAGUUGCGCCCUCUGCUACACCCUGCUGACCUGGGCGGUGUGAAAAAGACCAUUCAGGUGCAGCUGUGAGUUAGUGUUUGUGUGUGCGCGCAUUAGCCAGUACAGAACGUGCUUACGUUCUAAUUCCAUUGGACGGUUGGUUGUUGCCUUCAAACCUUUGUUGCCUGCAGGUUUCAGUAGCAGUGUCCUUUAUCCUGAGAUUUGAAAUUACACCAAAGCCGACGGAACCAUUUUAUACCCUCACUGCGUCAAAUAUGGAAAAUCAUGAAAAGAGCACAAAAUGAUGUUUUUAAAUGUAAUAUCUAUAGUGGGUCUUAUGUCAAGUAUUACAAUUUCUCUAAGGAAGGCUUCACACCAGAACAAUAGCCGUCGGCAAAGUCGGUCUGGUAGUAAAAUUCAAAAUAAAAUGUUUAUUUCUAACAAAACCAAAUGAAGUCACAAAUUGAAUCACAUAAAAUUGUUACGAUGUGCAAACGGACCCAAAUGCAACACGCAGGACCACCAAGGUUUCUCUUGAUCCAACAGGACCAAAACAGCAACGGGAGACACAAGUCAAUUGUGAGUGGCUGAAAAAAGGAAACCAGUCCAAUGGGCCACGCGUCCGUGCGCUCCGAUCCGUAAUCACGCAGAAGGGUGAUUCUGCCGCUGCGUGACUAGGCGGCAGACAGGCAGGGCAGCUCGACUGUGACACCCGAGGCUCAUGAUGAUCAUCAUCCAAUGAGAAUAAAGAUCUCAACUCCUUCAGAGUAUGUAGAUGAAAACAAGCCCAAAGCAUCAGAUUGAUACGAAUGAACAGGAUCUAUGUAUCAGCUUAUGUAGCAUAUGUAGAUGA